rnacentral:tRNA from 2 species
GCGCGAGUGGCGGAAUUGGUAGACGCCCCAGAUUUAGGUUCUGGUGCCUUCGGGCGUGAGGGUUCGAGUCCCUUCUCGCGCACCA